rnacentral:rRNA from 1 species
UACGUAGGGGGCAAGCGUUAUCCGGAUUUAUUGGGCGUAAAGAGCGCGUAGGCGGUCUGUUAAGCGAGAUGUGAAAACCGGGGGCUCAACCCGCGGCCUGCAUCUCGAACUGGCAGACUUGGGUCUGGUAGAGGAAAGUGGAAUUCCUGGUGUAGCGGUGAAAUGCGCAGAUAUCAGGAGGAACACCAGUGGCGAAGGCGGCUUUCUGGGCCACGACUGACGCUGAGGCGCGAAAGCUAGGGGAGCGAACAGGAUUAGAUACCCUGGUAGUCCUAGCCGUAAACGAUGGGCACUAGGUGUGGGGGGUCAUCGACUCCCUCCGUGCCGAAGCUAACGCAUUAAGUGCCCCGCCUGGGGAGUACGGCCGCAAGGCUAAA